GCCAGGCAUGGUGGUGCAUGCCUGUAGUCCCAGCUACUCAGAAGGCUGAGAUGGGAGGAUUGCUUGAGCCCAGGAGGUUGGGGCUGCAGUGAGCUGAGGUCACACCACUGCAUUCCAGCCUGGGUGACAGAGCGAGACCUUGUCUCAA
rnacentral:SRP_RNA from 1 species